rnacentral:rRNA from 1 species
UACGGAGGGGGCUAGCGUUAUUCGGAAUUAUUGGGCGUAAAGGGCGCGUAGGCGGCCCGGUAAGUCAAAGGUGAAAUCCCUCGGCUCAACUCCGGGCCUGCAGUCGAUACGGGCUGGCUUGAGUGCGGUAGGGGAGACUGGAAUUCCUGGUGUAGCGGUGAAAUGCGCAGAUAUCAGGAGGAACACCGGUGGCGAAGGCGGGUCUCUGGGCCGAUACUGACGCUGAGGAGCGAAAGCGUGGGGAGCGAACAGG